GAUGAAGAACGUAGCGAAAUGCGAUAAGUAAUGUGAAUUGCAGAAUUCAGUGAAUCAUCGAAUCUUUGAACGCACAUUGCGCCCAUUAGUAUUCUAGUGGGCAUGCCUGUUCGAGCGUCAUUUCAACCCUUAAGCCUAGCUUAGUGUUGGGAGACUGCCUAAUACGCAGCUCCUCAAAACCAGUGGCGGAGUCUGUUCGUGCUCUGAGCGUAGUAAUUUUUUAUCUCGCUUCUGCAAGCCGGCCAGACGACAGCCAUAAACCGCACCCUCUCGGGGGGCACUUUUUUAAUGGUUGACCUCGGAUCAGGUAGGAAUACCCGCUGAACUUAAGCAUAUCAAUAAGCGGAGGA
rnacentral:misc_RNA from 1 species